CCAACGGCCCUCUUUAGGGCCACAACCAUUGUCGAAUGCCUUGACU
rfam:Angiostrongylus costaricensis strain Costa Rica genome assembly, scaffold: ACOC_scaffold0000984